rnacentral:rRNA from 1 species
UACGUAGGGGGCAAGCGUUGUCCGGAUUUAUUGGGCGUAAAGAGCGUGUAGGCGGCCAGGUAAGUCCGUUGUGAAAACUCGAGGCUCAACCUCGAGAUGUCGAUGGAAACCGUCUGGCUAGAGUCCGGAAGAGGAGUGUGGAAUUCCUGGUGUAGCGGUGAAAUGCGCAGAUAUCAGGAAGAACACCUAUGGCGAAGGCAGCACUCUGGGACGGUACUGACGCUGAGACGCGAAAGCGUGGGGAGCGAACAGG